UUUUUCUGUAAGUUUAAUUUAAAAAUCAUGUUGUGAAUUCUAAAGUUGCAAAUUCAAGUAUGGUACGACAUAUAUUGUCCUUGGAAACAAAUAAAACUA